rnacentral:rRNA from 1 species
CCUACGGGAGGCUGCAGUGGGGAAUAUUGCGCAAUGGGCGAAAGCCUGACGCAGCGACGCCGCGUGAGGGAUGAAGGUCUUCGGAUCGUAAACCUCUGUCAGCAGGGAAGAACGGUCACUGGGCGAAGCAGCAGGGAAGUGACGGUAGCUGCAAAGGAAGCAACGGCUAACUCCGUGCCAGCAGCCGCGGUAAUACGGAGGGUGCGAGCGGUAAUCGGAAUUACUGGGCGGAAAGCGCUCGUAGGCGGUAUGUCAAGGCAAGGGUGAAAUCCCCGCGCUCACCGUGGGAACUGCCUUUGAAACUGGCAACCUGGAGUGUGUGAGCGGAUAGUGGAAUUCCUGGUGUAGGCGUGACAUCCGUAGAUAUCUGGAGGAACAUCAGUUGCGAAGGCGACUCUCUGGCCCAUACCUGACGCUGAGGCGCGAAAGCGUGGGUAGCAAACAGGAUUAGAUACCCGAGUAGUC